CUGUUAUAGAAUGUUGUAGUGUCAUGUUAAUGAGGUUCUAACAUGGCUGUUAUAGAAUGUUGUAGUGUCAUGUUAAUGAGGUUCUAACAUGGCUGUUAUAGAAUGUUGUAGUGUCAUGUUAAUGAGGUUCUAACAUGGCUGAUAUAGAAUGUUGUAGUGUCAUGUUAAUGAGGUUCUAACAUGGCUGUUAUAGAAUGUUGUAGUGUCAUGUUAAUGAGGUUCUAACAUGGCUGUUAUAGAAUGUUGUAGUGUCAUGUUAAUGAGGUUCUAACAUGGCUGUUAUAGAAUGUUGUAGUGUCAUGUUAAUGAGGUUCUAACAUGGCUGUUAUAGAAUGUUGUAGUGUCAUGUUA